UACGAAGGGGGCUAGCGUUGCUCGGAAUCACUGGGCGUAAAGCGCACGUAGGCGGAUCUUUAAGUCAGGGGUGAAAUCCCGGAGCUCAACUCCGGAACUGCCUCUGAUACUGAAGGUCUUGAGUUCGGGAGAGGUGAGUGGAACUGCGAGUGUAGAGGUGAAAUUCGUAGAUAUUCGCAAGAACACCAGUGGCGAAGGCGGCUCACUGGCCCGAUACUGACGCUAAUGCGCGACAGCGUGGGGAGCAAACAGG
rnacentral:rRNA from 1 species